CGAGAAUUGAUUAAGCUGAACAUUGUGAUUCGGGACCUUGUCGUGGCAAGUUACCAAUCUUUCUAAAGAGAGACGAUCGAGAGUGAUAUAUAUCCAUUCGCAAAUAUGGAUAUCAUUUAUACCAUUUCAAACAAUUUCCGAGCAAAUUCUAUAAAGUGUAAUUAUCAAUAGAAGAAGAUGGAAGUAUUUCUGCUAGCUUUCCCCGGAGCACGAAACAUAUAUUCAUAUGUGUAGCUAUACACACACACUUAUAAGUAUAUAUUGCUACGUACUUAUAUAUAAUUAUGUUUAUCUACCAAUACAUUUGUAUACGCGCUCAAAUAUCUAAGAUCUACAUAUAUGUAUCUAAUAUAAUCCUGGAAAAAAAGAUGAACAAAAUUCGAUACCUAAAUAGUAAAAUGAUCGAAAGGAUACACAUAUGGAUAUGGAGAAUGAUCGAUAUUGGAAAUCAAAAAAUAUAAAAAGGAUUCAAAAGCAGAAAAGAAAGAUGAAAGAAAAAAAAAAUUCCCCGAAACUUUAGAAUGGAUUCAAAACUAUUGAUAAAUUUAUGAUUGGAUUACCGCGGAAGAAAUGCUUGUCAUGGUGAGGAAAAUAGAGGGAGAAUAAUUUAAGUGAUUUAAAAGAAGAUACAAGCUAUUUGACGAGAGAUUGACAAGCUUAUUCUAAAUCAAGACGCCAACAUGACCACCGCUAAUUAGUUCCGAAAGAAUAACAACGAUCUGGGAAAAAGAACCAUCAUCCAAACGGAAGUAACCGAAAAAAUGCCUGUAAUUCUGGAGUCGAUGUUGAGAAUCGCUGGUGAUAGUUUGCACUUCGUGUUCUGGCGAGGGAGCUGCGAUGUCUGCCCGUCGGUGGAUCAAGAAGGACGGAUCCGGUAACGGAGGCAAGACAAAGUCAAUGCAAGGUUUGUUUCUGUUAUUAUUAGUUGAAGGCAACGAUUUAGAAUUCAAAAUUAAAGAAAAACUAUUUUAUGUUUUGUAACGCUUAAGCGAACUUACUGUGUUUAAAUAUUAGUAUAUUCAAUUCCGCAUAUCAUUUAUAUAAAUGCAAAUGGUUCCGAAAUUAUUAACUCUCAUCUAUUCACCAUUAGAAUGAGAGAGUUUUGAUAUUUACUUGUCGAAGUACAAAGGAAUAUUCGGGUAAUUGUCGAAAUCUGCCAAAAGUUUGUUUUCGUUGCCUUAUACAUUACUUCGUUACUUAUACAAUAGCUGCCAGUUCGGAAUUUAAAUCUAGCAGAAAAUAAAUUAAAAUAACUUUCAAAGUUUUAAAAUAACUUUCAAAGUUCCUUUUAAAAGUUAAAGUACUAUAUAAAAAUUACUAUAAAAAUAAUGAUUAUAAAUUGAUCAUAGGCCAAAUAAAAUAAUACAAAUUCUUCGUUCUAUCUCUAGAUGGAUGUUAAAAAUCGAAUUAAUAAUAGUUUCAUAUUUUUCCGAAUUUAUCCUUUGUACUUUUCACUGUCUGGGUCGUUAAUUAGCAGCAAAUUCGUCACUCGAACAUGCUAUAUACUGUACCAUAUGAUACCGCAUAACUUUAACGCCCGCUAAUAUAUUAGAAUGUUAUUUGAUUUAUAUGAAUUUUUAGACAUUUAGGAUCACAUUGUUUUACAAAAAAUCAGAACUUUAUUCCUUAUGAUUUAAGACAGUAGGACAAAUUUUAAGGUCGUGCCUUUACAUUAUCAUUUUCAUUGCUACCCUUAUCAAUGAGAUAUCUUUGUUUUUUUGGCUUUGAUUUCCCUGAGGCGAUAUCCAGAAGCAAACGGUGAAAAUGAAAAUUAAAAAAUAAACAGAAUCCAACAAAGAAAUUAAUAUUGAAAAGUAAUUAUUAAAAUCAAAGAGGAAAUUUGAAAUGAAAAAAUAAGAAAAAAAUCAAGAAAGAAUUAAAAUUAAAAAAUAAAAUUUUUAAUUAAAAUAAAAAAAAAACAUUCCAAUGAUCAUUCUUAAACUUUAAUUUAAAAUAAUUUUAUUCAAUGUUAAUUUAAAUUAAUUUUUUUUCAAUUUUAAUUUUUUAUUUCUUUUUAUUUUAAAUUAUGCUUUAAUUUUCUUUUUGACAAUAAAUUCAAAAAAAUUUCUUUAAAAUCAAAAAGAAAAAAUAAGUAUUAUUCAUUUAUCAUUAAUUUAAUUUCUAUUGAACGUUUAUGGAUUCAUAGAUAAAUAUAAGUAGAUGAAAGAUAUACCAGUGCCUAUAUGAAUGUAAAGGUAUGUAAAUAUAAUUAUAUAUGGGUACGUAGUGAUAUAUACAUGUAUGUGUCUGUGUAUAUCUAUGCAUAUGUAUAUAAUCUAUGUAACGUUUGAAGCUAUUCAGAAAUAUAUAUUCAUGUGUGUAAUGCAUUUACGAAGGACUAACGAAAACAGUUCUAUCUUACGAAACUCCCUACAAAACAAAAGUAACCAAUAAUAUUACAUGAUAAUUGAUAGAUUGACACACAAAAAAUUCAAACAUGAUUUAUGUUACCAAGUAUAUACUAUUCUUGGCAAUAAUAGUACCUUUUUUGGAACUUCUUAUAACUUGUCAUUGCGAAUGAAAUCAGAAUGAACAGUUAGUCCAACACUCGCUAAUAUCGAUUCUGUAUACCCAUUCAAUGAAUAAAAUCAAUUAAAAUAUAAAA